GAUGAACGCUAGCUACAGGCUUAACACAUGCAAGUCGAGGGGAAACGAUAGAGAAAGCUUGCUUUUUCUAGGCGUCGACCGGCGCACGGGUGAGUAACGCGUAUCCAACCUGCCCAUCACUUGGGGAUAACCUUGCGAAAGUAAGACUAAUACCCAAUGAUAUCUCUAGAAGACAUCUGAAAGGGAUUAAAGAUUUAUCGGUGAUGGAUGGGGAUGCGUCUGAUUAGCUUGUUGGCGGGGUAACGGCCCACCAAGGCGACGAUCAGUAGGGGUGCUGAGAGGAAGGUCCCCCACAUUGGAACUGGGACACGGUCCAAACUCCUACGGGAGGCAGCAGUGAGGAAUAUUGGUCAAUGGACGAGAGUCUGAACCAGCCAAGUAGCGUGCAGGAUGACGGCCCUAUGGGUUGUGAACUGCUUUUAUAAGGGAAUAAAGUGAGCCUCGUGAGGCUUUUUGCAUGUACCUUAUGAAUAAGGACCGGCUAAUUCCGUGCCAGCCGCCGCCGUAA
rnacentral:rRNA from 1 species